CACUGCCCCACCCCUGGGCACGCUGGGAAAUGUAGUCCCGAAGGGAGGCGUUGAGGGAGGGUCGGGGUUGUGUCGCUCCGCGUCCCCUCAGACACCGGAGCCGCCCCUCGCCCCCGCUCCGCUCUGCUCUGCUCUGGGGACGCGGGGCUCGCCCCACGAACGCUCGGCAGCGCUCACUCCGCAGGGAAGGACGAAGCCCCUCACCCCAAAUCAUCAGAGUCAAGACCCUCCCUGUGCCUCUGUGGCAGAAGUUGCUGGUUGAAGCCAGUGGGAGUUUGCAGCACUUUUUCUGGAACACAUGAGCUGGUGUAAUGAGUUUACCCUACUUGGACUUAGCAGAGCAAUCCUUUAGUGCCCCUUGUAAUCUUGGCUGUGCAGCUUCGCCCUAUCUGGUUGCAGAUUUGUGGUCUGAGGGAAGGUCAGCGUGGAAAAACUUCAUUCUACAAAGGGAAAGCUGACAUGCAAAUGUCACUUUUGUGAAUAGGAGUUUUAAGUAAGUGCUUCUCAAUUAUCAGUAAUAAGCUUUGAAGUGCAAUGCUGAAUGACUAAGGCUGCUGUAUUCAAAAGUCUCCAAGUGAUCUGCAGCUGGAAAAUGUAACAAGAAUCAGUUUCCCAACAUGACAGAACCAUACUCUGUUCUGCUUAUAUGAUGAUUCAUGACCACCACCUCUCUGUGUGGGCUAGUCUGUGCUCUUUCCUUGUCCUUCCACAGCAGCUUUUAUUUCUUUUCCCUGGCAACACCUCUUUUUGCACUGGUGUGUGUAUAUCACUGGUGAAGAGUGCUUAAACAUCUGCACUUGGGGUCUGAGACACAGCUCCCAGUGCCCUGCCACAGCACAGAGCCAAGUCUGUGCCUGACCUAAGAGUGAAAUCAGCCCUUUGGCUCUGGGAAUCAGUUCAGCAUUAGACCAAGCUUUAUUCAAGCCUUGAUUGCUUCACUGUUCAAGAAAAAUGGGAAAAAAGUGCACUAAAAU
rnacentral:lncRNA from 1 species